rnacentral:rRNA from 1 species
UACGUAGGGGGCGAGCGUUGUCCGGAAUGACUGGGCGUAAAGGGCGUGUAGGCGGCGAUUUAAGUUUGGAGUGAAAGUCCCGUUUUCAAGAUGGGAAUUGCUUUGGAUACUGGAUUGCUUGAGUACAGAAGAGGUAAGCGGAAUUCCCGGUGUAGCGGUGAAAUGCGUAGAGAUCGGGAGGAACACCAGUGGCGAAGGCGGCUUACUGGGCUGUAACUGACGCUGAGGCGCGAAAGCGUGGGGAG